rnacentral:tRNA from 1 species
UACCGGGUAGUGUAAUUGGUAACACGCAUGGCUCUGAACCAUGAGAUUCUAGGUUCGACCCCUAGCCCGGUAG